rnacentral:rRNA from 1 species
UACUCCCCAGGCGGGGUACUUACUGUGUUAACGACGGCACGGAAGUCAUGACAACUCCCACACCUAGUACCCAUCGUUUACGGCGUGGACUACCAGGGUAUCUAAUCCUGUUUGCUCCCCACGCUUUCAUGCCUCAGUGUCAGUUACAGUCCAGAAAGCCGCCUUCGCCACUGGUGUUCCUCCUAAUAUCUACGCAUUUCACUGCUACACUAGGAAUUCCACUUUCCUCUCCUGCACUCUAGAUAUCCAGUUUGGAAUGCAGCACCCAAGUUGAGCCCGGGUAUUUCACAUCCCACUUAAAUAUCCACCUACGCAUCCUUUACGCCCAGUAAAUCCGGACAACGCUUGCCACCUACGUAUUACCGCGGCUGCUGGCACGUAGUUAGCCGUGGCUUCCUCCUUUGGUACCGUCAUUAUCGUCCCAAAAGACAGAGCUUUACAACCCGAAGGCCUUCUUCACUCACGCGGCGUUGCUGCAUCAGGCUUUCGCCC